AUUGAACGCUGGCGGCAUGCCUAACACAUGCAAGUCGAACGAGUGGCGGACGGGUGAGUAAUGUCUGGGAAACUGCCUGAUGGAGGGGGAUAACUACUGGAAAGGGUAGCUAAUACCGCAUACUAUCAGAUGUGCCCAGAUGGGAUUAGCUUGUUGGUGGGGUAACGGCUCACCACGGCGACGAUCCGUAGCUGGUCUGAGAGGAUGACCAGCCACACUGGAACUGAGACACGGCCCAGACUCCUACGGGAGGCAGCAGUGGGGAAUAUUGCACAAUGGGCGCAAGCCUGAUGCAGCCAUGCCGCGUGUCUGAAGAAGGCCUUCGGGUUGUAAAGUACUUUCAGCAGGGAGGCGUUACCCGAAGAAGAAGCACCGGCUAACUACGUGCCAGCAGCCGCGGUAAUAC
rnacentral:rRNA from 1 species